rnacentral:rRNA from 1 species
GAGUUUGAUCCCGGGCUCAGGACGAACGCUGGCGGCGUGCCUAAUACAUGCAAGUCGAACGAACUCUGGUAUUGAUUGGUGCUUGCAUCAUGAUUUACAUUUGAGUGAGUGGCGAACUGGUGAGUAACACGUGGGAAACCUGCCCAGAAGCGGGGGAUAACACCUGGAAACAGAUGCUAAUACCGCAUAACAACUUGGACCGCAUGGUCCGAGUUUGAAAGAUGGCUUCGGCUAUCACUUUUGGAUGGUCCCGCGGCGUAUUAGCUAGAUGGUGGGGUAACGGCUCACCAUGGCAAUGAUACGUAGCCGACCUGAGAGGGUAAUCGGCCACAUUGGGACUGAGACACGGCCCAAACUCCUACGGGAGGCAGCAGUAGGGAAUCUUCCACAAUGGACGAAAGUCUGAUGGAGCAACGCCGCGUGAGUGAAGAAGGGUUUCGGCUCGUAAAACUCUGUUGUUAAAGAAGAACAUAUCUGAGAGUAACUGUUCAGGUAUUGACGGUAUUUAACCAGAAAGCCACGGCUAACUACGUGCCAGCAGCCGCGGUAAUACGUAGGUGGCAARCSKUGUCCGGAUUUAUUGGGCGUAAAGCGAGCGCAGGCGGUUUUUUAAGUCUGAURUGWRARCCUUCGGYUCAACCGAAGAAGUGCAUCGGAAACUGGGAAACUUGAGUGCAGAAGAGGACAGUGGAACUCCAUGUGUAGCGGUGAAAUGCGUAGAUAUAUGGAAGAACACCAGUGGCGAAGGCGGCUGUCUGGUCUGUAACUGACGCUGAGGCUCGAAAGUAUGGGUAGMAAACAGGAUUAGAUACCCUGGUAGUCCAUMCCGUAAMCGAUGAAUGCUAAGUGUUGGAGGGNUUUCCGCCCUUNNNCAGUGCUGCAGCUAACGCAUUAAGCAUUCCGCCUGGGGAGUACGGCCGCAAGGCUGAAACUCAAAGGAAUUGACGGGGGCCCGCACAAGCGGUGGAGCAUGUGGUUUAAUUCGAAGCUACGCGAAGAACCUUACCAGGUCUUGACAUACUAUGCAAAUCUAAGAGAUUAGACGUUCCCUUCGGGGACAUGGAUACAGGUGGUGCAUGGUUGUCGUCAGCUCGUGUCGUGAGAUGUUGGGUUAAGUCCCGCAACGAGCGCAACCCUUAUUAUCAGUUGCCAGCAUUAAGUUKGGCACUCURSUSWGACUGMCGSYGRSAMAMCGGAGGAAGGUGGGGAUGACGUCAAAUCAUCAUGCCCCUUAUGACCUGNNGGCUACACACGUGCUACAAUGGAUGGUACAACGAGUUGCGAACUCGCGAGAGUAAGCUAAUCUCUUAAAGCCAUUCUCAGUUCGGAUUGUAGGCUGCAACUCGCCUACAUGAAGUCGGAAUCGCUAGUAAUCGCGGAUCAGCAUGCCGCGGUGAAUACGUUCCCGGGCCUUGUACACACCGCCCGUCACACCAUGAGAGUUUGUAACACCCAAAGUCGGUGGGGUAACCUUUUAGGAACCAGCCGCCUAAGGUGGGACAGAUGAUUAGGGUGAAGUCGUAAACAAGGUAGCCACGC